AUUGAACGCUGGCGGCAGGCCUAAAACAUGCAAGUAGAGCGGUUGAGAGCAGCUUGCUUCUCUUGAGAGCGGCGGACGGGGGAGUAAUGCUUCGGAAUCUGCCUGGUAGUGGGGGAUAACGUUGGGAAACGGACGCUGAUACUGCAUACGUCAUACGGGAAAAAGCAGGGGACCUUCGGGCAUUGCGUUAUCAGGUGAUGCAAGGUCGGAUUAGCUAGCUGGUGGGGUAAUGGCUAACCAAGGCGACAAUCCGUAACUGGUCUGAGAGGAUGAUCAGUCACACUGGAACUGAGACACGGUCCAGACUCCUACGGGAGGCAGCAGUGGGGAAUAUUGGACAAUGGGCGAGAGCCUGAUCCAGCCAUGCCGCGUGUGUGAAGAAGGUCUUCGGAUUGUAAAGCACUUUAAGUUGGGAGGAAGGGCAGUAAAUUAAUACUUUGCUGUUUUGACGUUACCGACAGAAUAAGCACCGGCUAACUCUGUGCCAGCAGCCGCAGUAA
rnacentral:rRNA from 1 species